GCACACGCCCUGUUGUUUGUUUCUUUCUCUGGAGAGCCAUGACUAAUCCAGUCUUCCAAUGCAUCAACCUGAAUAUCUUUCCAUUCAUUUACGUUUUCUUUUUUUUUUUUUUUACAAUGUUUUAUACUUUUCAGAGUACAAGUCUAUCACCUAUUUGGCUAAAUUUGUUCCUAGGUAUUUUACUUUUUUGGAUAUUAUAAAUGGGAUUAAAAUAUAUAUGUGUGUGUUUAUUUAUUUAUUUUUGGAGGAGUGCAAGCGGGGGAGGGGCAGAGAGCGAGGGAACAGGAUCUGAAGCAAGUGGGCUGACAGCAGCGAGCCCGACGCAGGGCUUGAACUCAACGAACCGCGAGAUCACGACCUGAGCUGAAGUCAGACCCUCAACGGACUGAGCCACCCAGGUGCCCCUGGAAUUGUUUUUUUAAUUUCUUUUUCAUAUUGUUCAUUGCUGCUGUACAGAAACAGUUGAUUUUUGCGUGUUGAUCUUGUAGCAACUUUGCUGAAUUGUUUGUCAGCAAACAAGCAGAUGUAGCUCCUUUGGGGUUUUAUGUAUCCUGUCAUCUGUGAACAGAGGCAGAUCCUUUCCAGUUUGGAUGCCUUUUCUUUUACUUGCCUAAUUGCUCUGGCCAGAACUUUCAAUAUGAUGUUGAAUAGCAUUGGUGAAAGUGGGCAUCCUUAUCUUAUUCCUGAUGUCGGGAUGGCUUUCUCAGUCUUUGACUACUGAGUAUGAUAUUAGCUGUGAGUUUUUGUUUUUGCUUUUUAAUAAAGGCCCUUUGUAUCACGUUGAGGGAAUUCCCUUCCAUUCCUAGUUUUCUGAUUGUUUUUAUCAUGAAGAGGUGAUGAAUUUUGUCAAAUGCUCUUUCAACAUCAGUCAAGAGAACCGUGUGUUUUCUCCCCCUUGUUCUGUCAGUGUGGUAUAUUACAUUGGUUGGGUUUCUCACUAGUCUCCUUUUCUGUAAUGGUCAGCGGCAUUCUCUCAGGCAUCCAGUUUCAAAUAUUUGACUAAACUCCGUUUCUCCAUUCUUUGAGCUGUUCACUGUGUGUUCCACCUUCUCCAUUCUCCUACCUGCAUCCUCCCUGUCCAGUCACACCUGUUUUUAUUGGUAGCUUUCUAACUCAUAGUUAAGCUUUCUUUCCGUAGUCUCAUCUCGCCUUGAAAUAGCUGUUCACCUGUGCUAGAUUACCCUCCUUAAAGCACCUUUAUUUUCCUUCCUAUUUUUUCCCUGCCAAGGGACUUGUUUUCCAUUGUUCAUCAGAUCAAGUCCAACCUCAUGCUGACAUUGAGAACCUUUCCUAAUCCAGUCCCACACCACCUCUCAAGUCCCCGUUGCUUAUCGCAAAUAGAAACUGCACACAGAGUCCCUCCUAAUAAUAACUUCGAAUUUCACUGUUAGAUUUCUAAAACUGGAAGCAUGUGCAUUUGAUUUCUUCUAUCUUUGCCCUUACCUUCCUGGUUUCCCCCAUUGACCUUAGCAAUAUAUUACUAAACAUGGCAUUUUCUUUAAUUUGGGAAGAUGCAUUCUGUAUGUCCUUAUUGUAACAGUUUCCCGGCCUCAUUUCUUGUACUUGAUUGAGGCAUGUAUUCAAAGAAAUGAAAAAGCCUUGUCUUAAUGUGUUCUACAGUAUGAAAGAAGAAAGUUGCAGGACAUGACAUCCAGUUGAAAACAUAUAUUCAUGUGCAUCGGCCAUUUCUGGAAAGAUACCAUUAUCUGGAAAGAUAAUGGUGGUUACUCCUGGGAAAUGGGACUGAGAUGGAAAGAAGGGAGAAAUUCCUUUCCGCUUUGUAUCCUUUUCUACUAUUGGAAUUUCUCUGCGCAUUUGAAAAAAAAAGAGGUGAAAAAAAUUGAAAAGUGAAUAAUGGUUAGUUCCUUCCUGGUUUUUAAUUCCAGUUUAAACCCCCCUCUGUGCCACACGAGAGUGGCUACAUUUUAAAAGCUUUUAAUGCUUUUUAAAAACCAUGGGCCAGGGGAUGAACUGAAACCGUCCUUUUGAUCACGUACCUACUUGACACGUCAUUGAAGUAAGUUGUGAAGUAGCCUCUUCCGGGGAGUUUAGUUUUGUUCACUAAAAAGGAUAGAAAGUCUUAUCCUCAUGACAUGUUAUGAGUAAACAGGGGUUGUUGGAAUAAACGUGGACUUGUUGCUGGAAGAACUGAGAAGGCACCAGGGCUUUUGUGGUCAGGUCCUUGUUUUGUGGAAUAUGGAGGGUCAGUGGCCAACUCUGGAUGCAUCUAAGACCCUGAUGUCCAGCCUGGAUUUCUGGAGUUGCUGCUAAAUAUUUUCUUUGAUUCCUACAGCUAUACUUUUGCUUUCCUUGGGUACUUAAGUUUCAUUUUAUUUAUUUUUAUUUUUAAGGUUUAUUUAUUUUGAGGGGCACCUGGGUGGCUCAGUCGGUUGAGCGUCUGACUCCAGCUCAGGUCAUGAUCUCAUGGUUUGUGGGUUCAAGCCUCACAUCGGGCUCUGUGCUGAUAGCUCAGAGCCUGGAGUCUGCGUCAGGUUCUGUGUCUCCCUCUCUGUCCCUCCUCCACUCUCGCUUUGUCUCACUUUGUCUCUCAAAAAUAAAUAAAUGUAAAAAAAAAAAAUUUAAAGUUUAUAUAUUUUGAGAGAGAGAGGGAGACAGACACAGUGCGAGUGGGGGAGGGGUAGAGAGAGGGAGAGAGAGAAUCCCAAGCAAGCUCUGAACCACCCAGGCAGAGCCCCGUGUAGGUCUUGAACUCCAGAACCCUGUGAUCAUGACCUGAGCUCAAAUCAAGAGUUGGACUGAGCCACGCAGGUACCCCUUAAGUUACAUUUUAAAAUUGGAAAAGCAGGUCUUUAAUUUUGGAGAGGACUUCAUUAGGCAUACUUACAAAGAACUUUGGUAGUUUUUUGGAGUAAGAGAACAUUUAUCAGUUAUUCACUUAGCUUCAAAUUUAGAAAUGUAUUUGGAAGAAUAGACAAUUGAGAUUAGGAAACGUGUAUGUCCGAAUGACAAUAGCAUUCCUGUAUGAAGGAAUGGAAUAAUUUAGAAAGCUCAUCACCAUGCUAAACUGCGUGUUUUAUUUUAUUGAAACAAAAAAAUUUUCCGAAUAUUUAUUUUUGAGAGACAGAGAGAGACAGAGCGUGGCCAGGGAAGGGGCAGAGAGAGAGGGAGACACAGAUUCCCAAGCAGGCUCCAGGCUCAGAGCUGUCAGCACAGAGCUCAACGCGGGGCUUGAACUCCACAGACAAUGAGAUCGUGACCUGAGCCAAAGUCACACGCCCAAAUGCCUGAGCCACCCAGGUGCCCCUAAACUGGGUGUUUUAAAGAUAAAACUCUUAAUUAUUAAUUUCACAAAUUUGCCUCAUCUGAUCAAAGAGAGCAAAUUUAGCUGCAGUAGGAUUAGAGGUGUUAGGGUUUAUUAUGUGAAUAGUCCUUUUCAUUGCUUAUUGUGGGAUGCAUUACUGUCUUUGCUUUAAGAAAACAUCAGUUCUGGGAAGUGGACUGGAUUGCACCAAAAUCACUGAGUGGCCGAGGUCAGAAAGCUUGAGUUUCUUCUUUCUAGAGAUUUGUGUGUCCCUGUCUUUCUUCACUGCCUCUGGGCAAGAAAAGAGAGUACUUUUUGUUUAAUGAAAACAAUGUGGAUUUAGCUAAGGAAAUGCAAACCUGUUGGCUCUUGCUAGUUAUUUGACUUCAUUAUGACUGGAGCACAGGCUUUGUCUUGUCUCCCGUUGGGUGUGGGCUGUGUAUAUUGCCUCGUAGUUAUGGUGAAGUUAAUAUUUAAAUCAGCUUCUUGAGGAGUGCCCGGAAAAGCUAGGAGUUACUAAUACAGUAGGAUCCUAAUGAGCGUAGUGUGUUUGUUACUGUUAAAGUAAUACCUGAAACGUAGCACACUUCCUAGGAUUUGGGCUUUGUUUAACUAAUUACAUAGGUUUAGCUAAACAGUCCCGAGACUGAGUCAUAUAGCCGUUAUUUGUGUAUGUCAGGAGCACGGCUUAAUCCUUGUAAAAUUUGUUAUUCAAGUUCGUAAUAGUUAUCUCUGAUUGGCCUUUUUAAUUCAAGACAUCUGAUGACAAAAUGGAUUUGGUAAACUGUAGUUUCCUAAUCUGCACAACGAAGAUAACGAUUCCUACCUUUUAGGGUUGUUAGAAGGAUGACGUGUGUGUGAGGCACCUAAGGUUCUGGGCACAAAGAAGAGGUUGACAUGAUAGUCCCAACUGUUACCAGCACAGUCCUUUGCAUGGUUCAAAUUAGGUAUUAUGUUGUAUGAUUCUUGCCUUUAUGGAGGCAGGAAUUUCCCCUUGAAAACAGAGAACCACAUGAUGAGAAAUACCAGGUAAAGACAGUUUAGUCCCUUUCAUUCACAAGCUCAUUUGUUCCCACAAUAUGGGGGAUUCGAAAGGUAGAGAAUAGUGUGGACCAGAGUUCUUGGGAAUGACUUUAAGGAGGAAGCGAGAUGAAUCUAUCCCUUGGGGCGCCUGGGCAGCUCAGUUGGUUAAGCGUCCAGCUUUGGCUCAGGCCAUGAUCUCGUGGUUCAUGGGAUUGAGCCCUGCGUUGGGAUCAGUGCUGACAGCAUGGAGCCUGCUUGGGAUUCUCUCUCUCUCCCCCCCCCUCUCUCUGCCCCUCCCAUGCUCAUUCUUCCUUUUUCUCUCUCAAAAAUAAAUAAACUUAAAAAAAAAAA